rnacentral:rRNA from 1 species
AUGACCCCGUAACUUCGGGAGAAGGGGUGCUUUCUUAACGGAAAGCCGCAGUGAAUAGGCCCAAGCGACUGUUUAGCAAAAACACAGCUCUCUGCGAAGCCGUAAGGCGAAGUAUAGGGGGUGACACCUGCCCGGUGCUGGAAGGUUAAGGAGAGGGGUUAGCGUAAGCGAAGCUCUGAACUGAAGCCCCAGUAAACGGCGGCCGUAACUAUA